rnacentral:lncRNA from 1 species
GCAGAUACACGUGUAGAAACAUACACACACGUAAUGUACACAUAUGUAUAGUGCACAUAUGCACGCACUUGUACACACAUUUAGGCAUACACAUGCAUAUGUAGAUGCAUGUGUACAUGCAUGUAUACAUCUACACAUGCACAGACACACAUACAUGUACACAUGCAUACUGUGUACAUAAUACAUGUAUACAGAUACAUGUGCGCAUGCACGUGUACACACAUGCAUGCAUACACACAUGCAUUUGUAGAUAUAUGUGUAGGUGUGUACACACAACAUACACAUAUGCAUCCACACAUACACAUAUACAUAUGAGGUGGCACGUUCAGCUUUCAAGAGGACCAUCAGGGACUUUGUCACCUUGACAACUUUAGCCUUGCCUUCUAGUCACCUUGCCGGAACACUUGUGCCCGUGUUUUUCUAGCACUGUCAUAAGAAUACUUUUACCUAUCAAGGCAACUGGGGGUUAGGAGAGCUUUUUGCACAGGAGGCUACUUGGCUUUGUUUGAAAACUGAUGAUACAUGAGGAUUGGGGUGGUGAAUCACUCACAUGUUUCUUCAUAUGAAAAAUGAGGACUGUGGGAUUCUCUGGCUGGAUCUCAGCACCUAGAAAUGGAUCUGGGCAAUAGGAACUGCUCAGUAUUAGCUACCGCUUUGGUUGCCUUCUCCUUGCGGAAAGCUGGCCUCUCACACUGAAUUUGUAUCAUAGGCACUCAUGAGGGUCUUGACUGUAUCAAUAUCUGAUGAGAGAUUUUAGUGCAGUUCUGUUAUCGUGGCUGAUUUGCUCAUUUGGUAGCUAGCAUCCAGCUUCUUGUGAACAUUAAAAUAAAAUAAAAUAGAUUAUGGAGGAAUAGAAUACAGAUACGUAGUAAGGUAUUAUUUUCCAGACAAAAUGGAUUUGGAUAAAAGAAUCUAAUUAAGAACUUGUGCAUGAUUCUUUUAAAAUUCUUUUGAAUCCAUUUUUUUUUUUUUGGCCUGUUUUCAAGUCUCCGAUUUUUGUCACCCUUCUCACACCAGGUCAGAGAGAUAGCUAAUGGUCAGAAGGAAUCUUCCAGCAAUGACCAUAGCGCUUUCUCCUGCCUGCAGAUGCCUCUUUUUAUUCAGCCUUUAUGGGAAGUAGCAGCACCAUCCAGUUCUCAGAGAGCAAGCUCUGGAGUAACUGAGCUAACCCCAGUUACCCCAGUGGAUUUACAGAUUGAGGUUACAACCCAGCAGGGUUCUCUUCCUGGAAAGAAUAGCCUUCCCUCUAAGGUUUCAAAUAGACCCUGGGUGAGGAAGGAGCCCUAAACAGCUUGAAAAAUUGAAUGCUCUUUGGGCAAAGCAGGAAGCCGUCCUAUGGAAGAGCAUCAUUUGAGCAUAAAUCAGGUUAUCAGGACAAACAGAGUGUUCAGGAGGUCAAGAUGGUUAAGCAGAGACCCUGACCAGAAUGUCCGUGGCGGAGAGAAACAAUCUUGUUGGGAAAAGGAUGACAAUAAUUGGGGACUUAGAAUAAAGGCUAAAAAUGAUUCAAAGAGAAUGCAAAAAGAAUCAGGCACAAAUCGUUUACUAUACUCUGUUAUGCAAAUCUCACCUUACUAUGUGUUUGUAUUCUAUUCCUCCACAAUCUUUAUUUUAUUUUAAUGUUCAAAGAGACUUGUAGGUGCCAAUUAAAUGAACAAAACAGCCAGAGACAACAGAACUGCCCUAAAAAAAGUCCCGCAUCAGCUCUUGAGAGCAGGUUCCUUAAAGGUGAACAAUAUUCCACAUACAAGGACUUUUUCAGCACCAUGCAUUAGAAAUGGAAGUGAAUGUUUAUUAUUUUUUGUAUAAGUUGGUUGAUAUGGCUUUUCAGCUUCCCUCAGUAUCAUUAUCCAAAUUUUGUAGAUGACACUAAAGCUCAGAGGAGUUAAACCAUUUUCCUUAAAUCACAUAGCUUUAAAUAGGAAAACCAGAUAUGAAAAGCAGAUUUUUUUUCUAAAUUAAAAAACCAAAAACAAAAACACGUGAGCUCUUGCUUUACCCUAGCACAUAGUCUUGCCAUCUGUUUUCUCCACACCAGGUGAUUCCUGUAACAUUCAUUCACAUAACAAAUACAAAUAAAUGAGUGGAUUCAUUCAUCAGAUAUUAAUUCAGAAUCCCUUUUGUGCCUUCCAGAAAUCUGGACCAUCUCACAACCCCCAGAGAGUCUCAGCUACAAGGAACAAGUGAUAAUGCCAUCCCACUUUUAUAAACACACACACACACACAUGCAAUACACACACAAUCAUUUAAUCAUUUUUAAUUAUUUAAUUAUUUUUUAAAAAUCAGUGACACUUUAGCUGGGCAGGUCUAGAUAGGUCUUCUUUGCUGGGACGUGUCUUUUUCUGUCCUGGAAUACCCUAAACUUCACAUUUUGGCAGCGUGAGUUUUCCCUUUGUGACUUUCUCCUUCUUCCCUUUUUUCCUCCUUCUUUGCAGAGAAUGAGUAGCCACUGCACCUUGCCCUGCGCCAUCAAUGAGAAGAUCUGCUCUUAGUAGAGCCCUGCUUUCCCGCUGAAGGCCCUGAAAUCACCUGUGUUCCAGGCCACCCACUAAGGAUAAACAAAGCUUCCCUGAUAUGGGGAAUUAGCUCAAGUGGUAGAGCGCUUGCUUAGCAUGCAAGAGGUAGUGGGAUCAAUGCCCACAUUCUCCAAGCUUUAUUAUUUAGGUACCCAAACCCGAGUCAGUGUCUGAGAGCAAGACACUGCUCUCGGUGUCUUUGGUUCAAGACAUAGGAGCAGCAACAAUACAGGACUGGUGACAGCUUCCUGCUGGCAUUCAGUAUAGUGUAGAUCUACUGUGUAAUUAAUUUUCUGUUUCUUCGAGGAGCUGUGAAACCAAAGGACAUAUAAAACUGCUCUUUUCUCCCUGUUUCUGCCUGCAGCUUGGUCCUAAAUGUGAGACAAUUGUGAAAAGUGGAGGACAGAGCCACCUGGUUAAAUACAGCCCCAGCUUUCUGGUGAGAGGACUGAAACCAAGAUGUGUCAAGUAACUAGAAUGUGCCUGGACAGAUACUGUAGAAAGCAAAACCAUAAAGUUGUUCAUGAGCUUGUGGACGCACCUGCCAGCUGUGAAUAAGUGGCUCUAAUCCCGAACAACUUACCUAAAAAGAGCCUGAGAGCUGAACUGUGCAAUGGCCCACUUUCCAGUCCUCACUGACCACUGGGUUGCACACACUUUGGAGAUCUCUGAACAGCAGUGUCAAGGCUUUCAAAUAGAGUUAUCUUUGAAACGACAACACAUGAAAGUCUGGUUGGUACUUGGAGCUUAAAUACAAGGCAAUUGUGUGCCUGCAAAAACAAAAAUAGCAAUAUUAUCCUUAAGAUUUCAACAAGACACAGUGUCUCAUCACAUAAUCCAAAGAAGUCCAGGUUACAAGCCCCACAAUAUUCAGCAUUAUGAAAAAACAGGGAGAUCUUAAUUCACAUGGCAAAGAGAAUCCUCGAAUAACAAUAUUGAGAGGACACAGAUGUCAAAAUCAUCUGACACAUACAUUAAAGCAGAUAUUAUAACAAUGCUCCUAGAAUCGGGGAUAACAUUCGUGAAGUGAAUGGAAAGUUGGAAAGUCUCACCAAAUAUUUCGAAUACAUAAACACCAAUUUAAACUUAAGAAUUAAAAAAAUGUAUUAACCAAAACUCUUAGGGGAAAUAAAAAGCUUAAUUGGAGGAUCUCCAUAAUCGAAUGCAGAAGACUAAGGAAAAAGUCAAUGAACUUGAAAACAGAACACGAAUACCUACAUAAUCUGAACUAUAGAGAGAAAGGAGGAUUUUAUUGUCUCUGAACAGAGGCUCAGGCACAAAUAAAAAAUAACAAAUCCAACAUUCACAUUAUUGUAAUCUGGAAAGAAGAGGACAAAGUGGUCUUUGUGGGAUAAAACUUUGAACAAUUAAUAGCUGAAAAUGGUUCAAAUUUGUCAAAAGAUAUAAACCAGAUUUUUAAAGUUCAGUAAAUGUCAAUCAGGAUAAACCCAAAGAAACCCAUAGCAAGGCAUAUCAUAAUCAAACUGCUGAAAACUAAGAAAAUACAAAACAAUUUUGAAAGCAGCCAAAGGGAAAUGAAAGAGAAACUACCAAAUGAAUGAUUGUAGAUUUCGCAUCAGGAACCAUAGGGGCCAGAAAAAAUGUCAUAACAUUCGGUAAGUAACAAAAGAAAAAGACAUAUCGACCCAGAAUGCUAUGUGGAGCAAAAGUAUCUUCCAGACAUAAAGGCAAAUAAAUGCAUUCUCAGUGGAAGGUAAGUAAAUACAUUCUCAUUCUUAGGAAGACUGCUGGAAAAGAAUUAGCAAAGAUUUGAGAUAAGAAAAAUGAUACCAGAAGGAAACUUAGAACAUCAUCAGUGAAGGAACAAAAGCAGAAAUAGAACAUGUCUGGGUAGACAUAACAGACUAUUAUUCUUCCCUUGAGUUCCUUAAGGAGACUACGGAAAAGAAGAGUGACUAAGAUCUCUGAAGAAGGGAAAAGCUAGAUGACUGGGCCACAAGAGGAAAAAAAGCAGCAAGACAGAGAUUUGUUGGUGCCAACUAAAUGAGCCCAACAGCCAGUGACAACAGAACUGCACUAAAAAAAGUCCCUCAUCAGCUCUUGAGAGCAGGUUCCUUAAAGGUGAACAAUAUUCCACAUACAAGGACUUUUUCAGCACCAUGCAUUAGAAAUGGAAGUGAAUGUUUAUUAUUUUUUGUAUAAGUUGGUUGAUACGGCUUUUCAGCUUCCCUCAGUAUCAUUAUCCAAAUUUUGUAGAUGACACUAAAGCUCAGAGGAGUUAAACCAUUUUCCUCAAAUCACAUAGUUUUAAAUAGGAAAACCAGAUAUGAAAAGCAGAUUUUUUUCUAAAUUAAAAAAAAAAAAAAAACUUGAGCUCUUGCUUUACCCUAGCACAUAGUCUCACCAUCUGUUUUCUCCAUGCCAGGUCAUUCAUGUAACAUUCAUUCACAUAACAAAUACAAAUAAAUGAGUGGAUUCAUUCAUCAGCUAUUAAUUCAGAAUCUCUUUUGUGUCUACCACACUAGGCUCAAGACUUCCCAGUGUCUUUGUCUCCUCUCCCUCAAAUCUCUCCACCCAAUGUCUUGACAAAUACUGUAGAUCCUUCCUGCACAGCAUCACCAGAAUGUUUUUCUUUCUUUUCAUUCACCUCUGUCAUCAUCCAUGCUAUGGUGUUUAUGGAGGAUGUAUUCUGCAGCAGGAAGUGUGAUGGGCACUGACGCUGCAGAAAGACUCCUGUUGUCCACCUCGGGAGCUGACACGAUAAAUGCGGCUUGAAUGUGAGGCAACUGUGAAAAGUGCAGGGCAGAGCCACCUGGGUAAAUACAGCCCUGGCUUUCUGGUGAGAGGACUGAAACCAGGAUGUGUCAAGUAACUAGAAUGUGCCUGGACAGAUACUGUAGAAAGCAAACCCAUAAAGUUGUUCAUGAGCUUGUGGACGCACCUGCCAGCUGUGAAUAAGUGGGUCUAAUCCCAAACAACUUACCUAAAAAGAGCCUGAGGACUGAACUAAACAAUGGUCCACUUUCCAGUCCUCACUGACCACUGGUUGCACACACUCCAGAGAUCUCUCAUCCGCAGUGUCAAGGCUUUCAAAUAGAGUUAUCUGUGAAACAACAACACAUGGAAGUCUGGUUGGUACUUGGAGCUUAAAUACAAGGCAAUUGUGUGCCUGCAAAAACAAAAAGAGCAAUAUUAUCCUUAAGAUUUCAACAAGACACAGUGUCUCAUCACAUAAUCCAAAGAAGUCCAGGUUACAAGCCCCAAAAUAUUCAGCAUUAUGAAAAACCAGGGAGAUCUUAAUUCACAUGGCAAAGAGAAUCCUUGCAUAACAAUAUUGAGAGGACACAUAUGUCAAAAUCAUCUGACACAUACAUUAAAGCAGUUAUUAUAACAAUGCUCCUAGAAUUACGGGAUAGCAUUCAUGAAGUGAAUGGAAAGUUGGAAAGUCUCACCAAAUAUUUGGAAUAUGUAAACACCAAUUUAAACUUAAGAAUUAAAAAAAGUAUUAACCAAAACUAUUAGGGGAAAUAAAAAGCUUAAUUGGAUGAUCUCAAUAGCAGUAUGCAGAAGACUAAGGAAAAAGUCAAUGAACUUGAAAACGGAACAAGAAUACCUACAGAAUCUGACCUAUAGAAAGAAAGGAGGAUUUUAUUGUCCCUGAACAGAGGCUCAGGGACAAAUAAAAAAUAACAAAUCUAACAUUCACAUUAUUGUAAUCUGGAAACAUUCACAUUAUUGUAAGAGGACAAAGAGGUCUUUGUGGGAUAAAACUGUGAAGAAUUAAUGGCUGAAAAUGUAUCAAAUUUCUCAAAAGAUAUAAACCAGAUUUUUAAAGUUCAGUAAAUGUCAAGCAGGAUAAACCAAAAGAAACCCAUUGCAAGACAUAUCAUAAUCAAACUGCGGAAAAUUAAGAAAACACAAAACAAUUUUGAAAGCAGCCAAAGGGAAAUGAAAGAUAAAAUACCAAAUGAAUGAUUGUAGAUUUCUCAUCGGGAACCCAGGAGCCAGAAAAAAAUGUCAUAACAUUCAGUAAAUACCAAAGGAAAAAUACAUUAUCAACCCAGAAUGGUAUGUGGAGCAAAAGUAUCUUCCAGACAUAAAGGCAAAUAAAUGCAUUCUCAUUGGAAGGUAAAUAAAUACAUUCUCAGUCCUAGCAAAACUGCUGGAAAAGAAUUAGCAAAGGUUUGAGAUAAGAAAAGUGAUACCAGAAGGAAACUUAGAACAUCAUCAAUGAAGGAACAAAAGCAGAAAUAGAAAAUGUCUGGGUAGACAUAACAGACUAUUAUUCUUCUCUUGAGUUCCUUAAGGUAUGUUUGAUGGUUGAAAGCAAAAAUUGUAACUUUAUCUGAUGCAGUUGUCAUUGUAUCUAGAUGUACUACAUACAUAAGAUAAAAGGGUAAAUGUAAUGGGACUAACUCUUGAUGAAGUUUCUAUAUUCAACUUGAAUGGUAAAAUAUUGAUUCUUAGUAUACUGUGAAAAGUUAUAUAUGUAUAUGGUAAUCCCUAGACCACUUAACAACCAGAUUGAAAUAAACCAAAACAAGAUAGACAGAGGAACAUAGAAGAAUUAAAACAAAGGGAAAAAAGGUUAAUAAAUUAUUAAAUAGUAGAUCUAUCUAAAAACUUAUCUAUAAUAACAUUAUAUGUAAAUUAUCUAAAUGCAUUAAGUAAAAACUAGAGAUCAUCAGAAUGUGUUAAAAAUAAAUAUGCUGACUAAAGAAAGCCACCUGCAAUACACUUAUAAAUAAGAAUAAAAGUUAUAGAGCAGAUUGAAAGAAAAGAGUGGGAAAAGAUACCUCAUGCAAGCAUUAAUCAAAGACAGCUGUGGUGUAUAUAUAUAAAAUCAGACAAAGUAGAUUUGAAAGCAGAGAAACUUUUCAGGAAUAAUGAGGCCUCCUAAAUAAUUAUGAUUGUCAAUUUUUCAGGAGAAUAUUGUCCCAAAUGUAUAUGAGGACACAGAGCUUCAAAACUCAUAAACAAAAUUGGAUACGCCAAGUAAAAAUAGAAAAAUCCAGUUAUAGUUGCAGUCAUUAACACUCCUCUCUGAGUAAUUGGAAGAUUUAGUGGAACACAAAUCAACAGACAUACUGGAGAAUUGAACCAUGCCAUCCAGUAAUGGACCUAUCAAUUUCAUAAUGCAAAAUAAAAAUUCAGGUAGAAAGCAAAGACAAAAAUUAAAAGAAAAGCAAGAUCAUGUUAUAAUGAGAAAAUUAAGAGUAGUCCAGUGUAUAGAAGGGUGCUAUUAUUGAAAGAGUUUGAAAUAGUGACUUAGUUAUUUUGAAACAUUUUUGAAGACGUUAUUUAGCUGGAAAUGACAGAAAGACUGAAAAUGGUGAAUGUGGAGGUGGAUCUUCCCUUGUCCAUAUUUAUCUUGUCUUCGUUUGAGGUCUGGGGUGUCUAUACUUCCUCUGAAUUACCUGAUCUUACUACAGUGUCUGGCACAGAGCAUCUCCCCAGUGAAUAUGUACUAAAUGAGUAGAAAGUAAUUGAUAGAUUCAAAAGAGUUGUGCAAGAAUAAUGUUCAUUAUUUGACUAAUCACUGAAUGUGGUGUUUCAAGGAAGACAAUGAAUCAAAGUUGACUUGAAAGGUAAGCCCAGGGCCAGACGUGGUGGCUCAUUUCUGUAAUCCCAGCACUUUGGGAGGCCGAGAUCAGUGGAUCCCUUGACACCAGGAGUUUGAGACCAGCCUAGGCAACACAGUGAAAACCUGUCUCUACAACAAAUACAAAAAUUAGCCGGGUGUGGUGGUAUGCAUCUGUAGUUCCAGCUACUCAGGAGGCUGAGGUGGGAGGAUCGCUUGAACUCAGGAGGUGGAGGUUGCAGUGAACAGAGAACGCACCGGUACCUGGACAACAAAGUGAGACCCUGUCAUAAAAUAAAAUAGUUAAACCCAGGCCAGGAGGGGUGGCUCAUGCCUGUAAUCCCAGCACUUUGGAAGGCCAAGGUAGGCUGAUCACGUGACGUCAGGAGGUUGAGACCAGCCUGGCCAACAUGGUGAAACCCCGUCUCUACUAAAAAUACAAAAAUUAACCAAGCGUGGUGGCAGGCACCUGUAGUCCCAGCUACUCUGGAGGCUGAGACAGGAGAAUUACUAGAACCCGGGAGGCAGAGGUUGCAGUGAGCCAAGAUCUUACCAUUGCACUGCAGCCUGGGCGACAGAGUGACACUCUGUCGAAAAAAAAAAAAAAAAAAAAGUUAAGCCCAAAAAGUAAGUAAGGAAGAGGUUUGGAAUUAGAUAUUUGUUGUAUGAAUGAGUGAGCUAAAGUGCAAAAGAACGGGCAGAAUAACUGAGCUGGUACAGAGGGAAAAAAUCACAUUUAAAAUCUAAAAAUAUCUGCUUCUUAGUUCAGGCUUUCCCACUUAGCAGCUUUGGCACCUUAGGAACACUUAACUUAUCUGAGCCUCUAUUACUUCUAAAAAGUGCAUAAAGUGCAGACUAAGACAGUUUUUUUGGCAAAAUUCAGUCAGACUACAUCAAGUAAACUCCCUAAGUCUCCUAGUAUAAUUCAUGGCACAAAAAAUUGGGGAAAAAACAGGGAGGAUAUGAUUAUAAGUUCAGUUUAUGUUUUUUGUUGAGUGAAUGUCUCCAGUCAUAGAGAUGCAAGUGUAGAUACACAGUAAGAGUAGUAUGAAUGGGAGACACCUUGGAAGGCUAUUUCUUCCUUCCUUCAUUCAGUUGGUCACUCAGUGAACUAUCAUGAAUUGAGCACCGCCUCUGUUUCUUAUCAACAAAGGAGACUGCGGAAAAGAAGAGUGACUAAGAUCUCUGAAGAAGGGAAAAGCUAGAUGACUGGGCCACAAGAGGAAAAAAAGCAGCAAGACAGUUACAAUUGUUUCUGGUCCCACUUUUAUAAACACACACACACACACACACACACACACACACACACACAAAAUCAUUUAAUCAUUUUUAAGUAUUUAAUCAUUUUUUAAAAAUCUGUGAUGCUUUACCUGGGCAUGUCUAGGCAGGUCCUCCUUUGCUAGGACGUGCCCUUUUCUGUCCCGGAAUACUCUAAACUUGGCAUUUUGGCAGCGUGAAGUUUUCCCGUUGUGACUUUCUCCUUGUUCCCUUUUCUCCUCCUUCUUUGCAGACAAUGAGUAGCCACUGCUGUUUGCCCUGGCCCAUCAAUGAGAAGAUCUGCUCUUAGAGCCCUGCUUUCCUGCUGAAGGCCCUGAAAUCACCUGUGUUCCAGGCCACCUGCUAACAAUAAAUAAUGCUGCCCUGAUGUGGGGAAUUAGCUCAAGUGGUAGAGCGCUUGCUUAGCACGCAAGAGGUAGUGGGAUCGAUGCCCACAUUCUCCAAGCUUUAUUAUUUAGACAUCGUGUCUCCAAACACUCAGGUCUCCAAACCCAAGUUAGUGUCUGAGAACAGGAUGCUGCUUUGGUUCAAGACGUAGGAGCAGCAAUAAUAGAGGGCUGGUGAUGGCUCCCUCUUGGCAUUCAGUAUAGUGUAGAUCUACCAUGUAAUUAAUUCUCUGUUUCUUUGAGGAGCUGUGAAACCAAGGGACAUAUACAACUGCUCUUUUCUCCCUGUUUCUACCUGCAGCUUUGUCCUAAAUGUGAGACAAUUAUGAAAAGUGCAGCGCAGAGCCACUUGGGUAAAUACAGCCCCGGCUUUCUGCUCAGGGGACAGAGUUUGAGGCACUGCAGAGGAACCGGCCAAAGUAUGAGACCCAUAUAUUGAGAGUAACAGAGUGUAAAGUUCAAAAAAAUCAAAAUAUUUAAAGAUUUAUCAUGGGUCUUGAUGACAUGAUGGAAUCUCUCUACUCUCUGGACUUAUUAUGUGUGGUAAUAAAUUUACUUUUUAAAAGCCA